rnacentral:rRNA from 1 species
UCCCAUUCCGAACCCGGAAGUGAAACGCCGCAGCGCCGAUGGUAGUGGGACGAUAGGUCCUGUGAGAGUAGGUCGUCGCCAGGU